CACGUAGGCGGCUUCUUAAGUCGGUGGUGAAAUCCUGGAGCUCAACUCCAGAACUGCCUUCGAUACUGGGAAGCUCGAGUCCGGGAGAGGUGAGUGGAACUGCGAGUGUAGAGGUGAAAUUCGUAGAUAUUCGCAAGAACACCAGUGGCGAAGGCGGCUCACUGGCCCGGUACUGACGCUGAGGUGCGAAAGCGUGGGAGCAAACA
rnacentral:rRNA from 1 species